rnacentral:lncRNA from 1 species
CCAGUCAGACACCUAGAGGGGAAACAUCCUUGUCAGGUGUUGGCUAUAACAGGGGCUAUAACAGGGGUGAUACAGUUUCUGGUCAGGUGUUGGGCUAUAACAGGGGCUAUAACACGGGUGAUACAGUUUCUGGUCAGGUGUUGGGCUAUAACAGGGGCUAUAACACGGGUGAUACAGUUUAUCUGGUCAGGUGCUGGGCUGUAACAGGGGCUAUAACACGGGUGAUACAGUAUAUCUGGUCAGGUGCUGGGCUGUAACAGGGGCUAUAACAGGGGUGAUACAGUAUAUCUGGUCAGGUGUUGGCUAUAACAGGGGUGAUACAGUUUAUCUGGUCAGGUGUUGGGCUAUAACAGGGGCUAUAACACGGGUGAUACAGUUUAUCUGGUCAGGUGUUGGGCUAUAACAGGGGCUUUAACAGGGGUGAUACAGUAUAUCUGGUCAGGUGCUGGGCUAUAACAGGGGCUAUAACAGGGGUGAUACAGUUUAUCUGGUCAGGUGUUGGGCUAUAACAGGGGCUAUAACAGGGGUGAUACAGUUUAUCUGGUCAGGUGUUGGGCUAUAACAGGGGCUAUAACAGGGGUGAUACAGUAUAUCUGGUCAGGUGUUGGGCUAUAACAGGGGCUAUAACAGGGGUGAUACAGUUUAUCUGGUCAGGUGCUGGGCUAUAACAGGGGCUAUAACAGGGGUGAUACAGUUUCUGGUCAGGUGUUGGGCUAUAACGGGGGUUUUACAGUUUCUGGUCAGGUGUUGGGCUAUAACAGGGGCUAUAACAGGGGUGAUACAGUAUAUCUGGUCAGGUGUUGGGCUAUAACAGGGGUGAUACAGUUUAUCUGGUCAGGUGCUGGGCUAUAACAGGGGCUAUAACAGGGGC